rnacentral:lncRNA from 1 species
CCCGAAUCACGAAUUAACCACUAAUCAAUAAAUCGUAGAGUUUUCAAGGGGAAAAACUAUACACAUUCUGUAAAAGAAUUUAAUCUUACACCAACUAAUAGCAUACAAUGCAAGCCAUCUCGUAUUAUACAUAAAUCACUAAAAAAAUGAAUCCAUAUAGUAACAUAUAUCAAAAUUACAUUCGAAAGUGUAUAUAUAAGAUCCACGAAAUUAAGGAAAAAAAGAAAAGAAACAAUAGUAUCACACCUUCAAUUCUCCUUUUUCAUAUCGUA